CGGGACGGGUGAGUAAUGUCUGGGAAACGUCUCGAUGGAGGGGGAUAACUACUGGAAACGGUAGCUAAUACCGCAUAACGUCGCAAGACCAAAGAGGGGGACCUUAGGGCCUCUUGCCAUCGGAUGUGCCCAGAUGGGAUUAGCUAGUAGGUGGGGUAACGGCUCACCUAGGCGACGAUCCCUAGCUGGUCUGAGAGGAUGACCAGCCACACUGGAACUGAGACACGGUCCAG
rnacentral:rRNA from 1 species